GGGUUGUGAGGUUAAGCGACUAAGCGUACACGGUGGAUGCCCUGGCAGUCAGAGGCGAUGAAGGACGUGCUAAUCUGCGAAAAGCGUCGGUAAGGUGAUAUGAACCGUUAUAACCGGCGAUGUCCGAAUGGGGAAACCCAGUGCAAUUCGUUGCACUAUCGUUAACUGAAUACAUAGGUUAACGAGGCGAACCGGGGGAACUGAAACAUCUAAGUACCCCGAGGAAAAGAAAUCAACCGAGAUUCCCCCAGUAGCGGCGAGCGAACGGGGAGCAGCCCAGAGUCUGAAUCAGCUUGUGUGUUAGUGGAACGGUCUGGAAAGUCCGACGGUACAGGGUGAUAGUCCCGUACACCAAAAUGCACAGGUUGUGAACUCGAAGAGUAGGGCGGGACACGUGGUAUCCUGUCUGAAUAUGGGGGGACCAUCCUCCAAGGCUAAAUACUCCUGACUGACCGAUAGUGAACCAGUACCGUGAGGGAAAGGCGAAAAGAACCCCGGCGAGGGGAGUGAAAAAGAACCUGAAACCGUGUACGUACAAGCAGUGGGAGCACCUUCGGGUGUGACUGCGUACCUUUUGUAUAAUGGGUCAGCGACUUAUAUUCUGUAGCAAGGUUAACCGUAUAGGGGAGCCGCAGGGAAACCGAGUCUUAACUGGGCGUUAAGUUGCAGGGUAUAGACCCGAAACCCGGUGAUCUAGCCAUGGGCAGGUUGAAGGUUGGGUAACACUAACUGGAGGACCGAACCGACUAAUGUUGAAAAAUUAGCGGAUGACUUGUGGCUGGGGGUGAAAGGCCAAUCAAACCGGGAGAUAGCUGGUUCUCCCCGAAAGCUAUUUAGGUAGCGCCUCGUGAACUCAUCUUCGGGGGUAGAGCACUGUUUCGGCUAGGGGGUCAUCCCGACUUACCAACCCGAUGCAAACUACGAAUACCGAAGAAUGUUAUCACGGGAGACACACGGCGGGUGCUAACGUCCGUCGUGAAGAGGGAAACAACCCAGACCGCCAGCUAAGGUCCCAAAGUCAUGGUUAAGUGGGAAACGAUGUGGGAAGGCACAGACAGCCAGGAUGUUGGCUUAGAAGCAGCCAUCAUUUAAAGAAAGCGUAAUAGCUCACUGGUCGAGUCGGCCUGCGCGGAAGAUGUAACGGGGCUAAACCAUGCACCGAAGCUGCGGCAGCGACACUAUGUGUUGUUGGGUAGGGGAGCGUUCUGUAAGCCUGCGAAGGUGUGCUGUGAGGCAUGCUGGAGGUAUCAGAAGUGCGAAUGCUGACAUAAGUAACGAUAAAGCGGGUGAAAAGCCCGCUCGCCGGAAGACCAAGGGUUCCUGUCCAACGUUAAUCGGGGCAGGGUGAGUCGACCCCUAAGGCGAGGCCGAAAGGCGUAGUCGAUGGGAAACAGGUUAAUAUUCCUGUACUUGGUGUUACUGCGAAGGGGGGACGGAGAAGGCUAUGUUAGCCGGGCGACGGUUGUCCCGGUUUAAGCAUGUAGGCUGGUUGUCCAGGCAAAUCCGGAUAAUCAAGGCUGAGGUGUGAUGACGAGGCACUACGGUGCUGAAGUAACAAAUGCCCUGCUUCCAGGAAAAGCCUCUAAGCAUCAGGUAACAUCAAAUCGUACCCCAAACCGACACAGGUGGUCAGGUAGAGAAUACCAAGGCGCUUGAGAGAACUCGGGUGAAGGAACUAGGCAAAAUGGUGCCGUAACUUCGGGAGAAGGCACGCUGGUGUGUAGGUGAAGCCCCUGCGGGUGGAGCUGAGACCAGUCGAAGAUACCAGCUGGCUGCAACUGUUUAUUAAAAACACAGCACUGUGCAAACACGAAAGUGGACGUAUACGGUGUGACGCCUGCCCGGUGCCGGAAGGUUAAUUGAUGGGGUUAUCCGUAAGGAGAAGCUCUUGAUCGAAGCCCCGGUAAACGGCGGCCGUAACUAUAACGGUCCUAAGGUAGCGAAAUUCCUUGUCGGGUAAGUUCCGACCUGCACGAAUGGCGUAAUGAUGGCCAGGCUGUCUCCACCCGAGACUCAGUGAAAUUGAACUCGCUGUGAAGAUGCAGUGUACCCGCGGCAAGACGGAAAGACCCCGUGAACCUUUACUAUAGCUUGACACUGAACAUUGAGCCUUGAUGUGUAGGAUAGGUGGGAGGCUUUGAAGCGUGGACGCCAGUCUGCGUGGAGCCAACCUUGAAAUACCACCCUUUAAUGUUUGAUGUUCUAACGUUGGCCCCUUAUCGGGGUUGCGGACAGUGUCUGGUGGGUAGUUUGACUGGGGCGGUCUCCUCCCAAAGCGUAACGGAGGAGCACGAAGGUUAGCUAAUCCUGGUCGGACAUCAGGAGGUUAGUGCAAUGGCAUAAGCUAGCUUGACUGCGAGCGUGACGGCGCGAGCAGGUGCGAAAGCAGGUCAUAGUGAUCCGGUGGUUCUGAAUGGAAGGGCCAUCGCUCAACGGAUAAAAGGUACUCCGGGGAUAACAGGCUGAUACCGCCCAAGAGUUCAUAUCGACGGCGGUGUUUGGCACCUCGAUGUCGGCUCAUCACAUCCUGGGGCUGAAGUAGGUCCCAAGGGUAUGGCUGUUCGCCAUUUAAAGUGGUACGCGAGCUGGGUUUAGAACGUCGUGAGACAGUUCGGUCCCUAUCUGCCGUGGGCGCUGGAGAAUUGAGGGGGGCUGCUCCUAGUACGAGAGGACCGGAGUGGACGCAUCACUGGUGUUCGGGUUGUCAUGCCAAUGGCACUGCCCGGUAGCUAAAUGCGGAAGAGAUAAGUGCUGAAAGCAUCUAAGCACGAAACUUGCCCCGAGAUGAGUUCUCCCUGAGACUUUAAGUCUCCUGAAGGAACGUUAAAGACGAUGACGUUGAUAGGCCGGGUGUGUAAGCGCAGCGAUGCGUUGAGCUAACCGGUACUAAUGAACCGUGAGGCUUAACCUUACAACGCCGAAG
rnacentral:rRNA from 1 species